CAGCCUCCUAAAGUGGUGGGAUUACAGGUGUGAGCCAGCAUGCGCAGCCAGUGGCAUCAUUCUUUAAGUCUACUUUUACUCCAUAAGCCAAUCUCCCAUUGAAAAACUGACAAAAAUAAUUCUCAACUUUCAACUGGUUUCAGCUGACCCUCUGAAUGUGGGAUAAUAUUUGCUUGAUAGGGCAGUUUCAGUUCAGCAGAAGGGCUGGUGUGGCUCAUUGGAGCUUAUGGAAGGGGGUUCUACCAGGGUAAUAAGGUCAAUAUGUGAAUCCUUUGAUAAAAAAGAAAUGGGCACAAGCCAACAUGGACCCAGAGAGAGAAUAAAAGUCUUAAAAACUUGCAGAAAUGAACAGUCCUGGUAGGUCUUUGGUAGCCUGUCCAAAUACAGAGCAUGGAUCUAAAGUGAUUUCUUUCCCUUCAUAUGUUUAUUCAGUUAUCAUAGUACUACCUUUUGAUAGCCUUCCCCUAUAUUUUGUGACAAUUACUUUAUCAAAUAUUCAGUUCUUAAAAUUGAGUCUUUUUAGGCCAGGCGCGGUGGCUCACGCCUGUAAUCCCAGCGCUUUGGGAGGCCGAGGCGGGCGGAUCACCUG
rnacentral:lncRNA from 1 species